GUCCACGCCCUAAACGAUGUCAACUGGUUGUUGGGAGCAAUCUCAGUGGCUAAGCGAAAGUGAUAAGUAUCCCACCUGGGGAGUACGUUCGCAAGAAUGAAACUCAAAGGAAUUGACGGGGGCCAGCACAAGCGGUGGAGCAUGUGGUUUAAUUCGAUGAUACGCGAGGAACCUUACCAAGGCUUAAAUGUAGUUUGACCGAUUUGGAAACAGAUCUUUCGCAAGACAAAUUACAAGGUGCUGCAUGGUUGUCGU
rnacentral:rRNA from 1 species